UUUAGCUUUUUUUUUUUCUUUUUUAGUGACAAACUUCAGAAGCUUUCUAAGACCUUCAUGGACAAUCUCUUCAAUUCUUUUUAUAUACGGGAUGGCUAAACAAUGCAUUUCAAAAUAUUAAAUACUUUUUUACUGUAAAAGCUUGUAAAUGUGGUAUACAGGUUGAUUUAAUCAGCUGGAAAAAAACGAUAUGGAAGGUUUAUCAAAGUGUUCUGUUUCAAAAGUGGUGCAACAAUGUAAAAGGUAGAGGAAUCACCAAUGGAAUAUGCUAGAUCAACGUAACAUUUGCUUCAGCCAAAUUAGUUGUGGCGAAAAUACAAAUAAUUUCAGGAAUGACAAAUUUCAGUGCCUGCUGUUACAUUGGUUACCAUAGUGAUUGCCCCACUUUUAGUAUUUUUAAUCACUUUUUAGAACAGAACUCUUUGAUAAGUCUUCUCUAUACAUGUAUCAGGAAAAUGUUUGAUUUAUAGAUUCAUGAUUCAGAGACAAGAAAUUAUGUACUUUGAGUGAGCUCCAACAGUGCAAUACAAUAUAUGAAAGUUUAUUUGCAGGAUGUCUCAUCUCAGUCCAGGUAAAUUCCUUCUUUUUUUUAAAGAAGACCGACUUAUAUUUCUCUGAAGAAUUUUGAUUUCAAAUUAGAAAGACUAGUGCAUAUCAGGAAACACGAAAAUAGCAAUGUUUACAUUAGUUUAAAUAGGUUUAUAUAAGAACCUAUUUCAAGCUAACACGAAACAUAAAAAAUACCAAAAAUACACAGAUAGCAUAAGCGCUAGAGUGUCAACUGAGUAUAUGAUCAUCAUAUAUGAGAUAUGAUAGCAGGCAGCAAACACUAAUAGUAAGGGUUACCCUCAACUCCUUUCUGAAAGAUAUAGAAAAAACAAUAUACACAAAAUAUAGGUUGCAACAAUAUAAAGUCCUAUUAGUCCACAAUUGCUAGGGUCUGUUCUCUACUGGUAACCGUCCAGACUUCAAAUGGUGGGAGAAUAUGAACUAAAAGUAGAAAAUAACCAGUGAUGGUGCAGAGAGUAUGGAACUAGGUACAGGACUACAACAAUAAUUUAUAUGGUAUAUCACUCACAUUUAAGAGAGAUUUAAGACCAGCUCUGAGUUUAACAGAAUGCAGCGGUACAAUCCCCCCUGAUGACUAAGUAGAUCUGGAGGCUGGUGUCAGACAAUAGUCUUCACUGUAAUCAAUGUUAUAAUGGUUGUAAAAGUAAGACUAUUCUACUCACAUGUAGUAGAGCAGUAGAUCCUGCUCAGAUAAUAAUGCUUGGGUGGUAUAAUCCCCACCAGGGAUAUAAUGUUGGGUAGAUUCUUUAAGGAGUAGUAUUCCUUAUUAGUUAAGUUUUUUAGUGUCAGGAAUGGAAGUACAUUAAAAUAUAAUAAAGGCAACUAAAAGCAUAAAAAGUGUAAUAAAUGGACAAUGAAAACUAG
rnacentral:lncRNA from 1 species